GUAGGGAAUCUUGCGCAAUGGGCGAAAGCCUGACGCAGCCAUGCCGCGUGAAUGAUGAAGGUCUUAGGAUUGUAAAAUUCUUUCACCGGGGACGAUAAUGACGGUACCCGGAGAAGAAGCCCCGGCUAACUUCGUGCCAGCAGCCGCGGUAAUACGAAGGGGGCUAGCGUUGCUCGGAAUUACUGGGCGUAAAGGGAGCGUAGGCGGAUAGUUUAGUCAGAGGUGAAAGCCCAGGGCUCAACCUUGGAAUUGCCUUUGAUACUGGCUAUCUUGAGUAUGGAAGAGGUAUGUGGAACUCCGAGUGUAGAGGUGAAAUUCGUAGAUAUUCGGAAGAACACCAGUGGCGAAGGCGACUCACUGGCCCGUUACUGACGCUGAGGCGCGAAAGCGUGGGGAGCAAACAGGAUUAGAUACCCGUGUAGUC
rnacentral:rRNA from 1 species